rnacentral:rRNA from 1 species
UACGAAGGGGGCUAGCGUUGCUCGGAAUCACUGGGCGUAAAGCGCACGUAGGCGGCUUGUUAAGUCAGGGGUGAAAUCCUGGAGCUCAACUCCAGAACUGCCCUUUGAUACUGGCGAGCCUCGAGUCCGGGAGAGGUGAGUGGAACUGCGAGUGUAGAGGUGAAAUUCGUAGAUAUUCGCAAGAACACCAGUGGCGAAGGCGGCUCACUGGCCCGGUACUCGACGCUGAGGUGCGAAAGCGUGGGGAGCAAACAGG